rnacentral:ncRNA from 1 species
ACCAGCCUUCAGGGUAGGGUGAAAUUCCCGACCGGCGGUAAUGACGAACGCACGUCUGAGCCCGCGACUCGCUAUUGCUGUAUGGAUAGCGACUGACUUGGUGCAAAUCCAAGGCCGACGGUAAAGUCCGGAUGGGAGAAGGUGUCU